UACGGGGGGGGCAAGCGUUGUUCGGAAUUACUGGGCGUAAAGGGCUCGUAGGUGGCCAACUAAGUCAGACGUGAAAUCCCCCGGCUUAACCGGGGAACUGCGUCUGAUACUGGACGGCUUGAAUUCGGGAGAGGGAUGCGGAAUUCCAGGUGUAGCGGUGAAAUGCGUAGAUAUCUGGAGGAACACCGGUGGCGAAGGCGGCAUCCUGGACCGACAUUGACGCUGAGGAGCGAAAGCCAGGGGAGCAAACGGG
rnacentral:rRNA from 1 species